GACGAACGCUGGCGGCGCGCCUAACACAUGCAAGUCGAACGGAGCUGAGAGAAGCUUGCUUUUCUUAGCUUAGUGGCGAACGGGUGAGUAACGCGUGAGUAACCUGCCCUGGAGUGGGGGACAACAGUUGGAAACGACUGCUAAUACCGCAUAAGCCCACGAUCCGGCAUCGGAUUGAGGGAAAAGGAUUUAUUCGCUUCAGGAUGGACUCGCGUCCAAUUAGCUAGUUGGUGAGGUAACGGCCCACCAAGGCGACGAUUGGUAGCCGGACUGAGAGGUUGAACGGCCACAUUGGGACUGAGACACGGCCCAGACUCCUACGGGAGGCAGCAGUGGGGGAUAGUGCAAAAUGGGGGAAACCCUGAUGCAGCGACGCCGCGUGGAGGAAGAAGGUUUUCGGAUUGUAAACUCCUGUCGUUAGGGACGAUAAUGACGGUACCUAACAAGGAAGCACCGGCUAACUACGUG
rnacentral:rRNA from 1 species